UACAGAAUCCCCCACGCAAAUCCCCAUCUCACUUCUUGGCCUUCUUUGCAGCGGUUUUCUUUACCCCAACUUUCUUCACCGGUGAUUUGAUACUUUUCGCUUUCUUCGCUGGAGUGGCUUUCUUGACAGCCUUCUUAGCUUUAACAGGUGUCUUCGCCUUUGCCUUUGGCUUCGGUUUCACUGAAGCGGCGGCUUUCGCUUUAGGGGCGGUAGCCUUCUUCGCCACCGGAGCUUUCUUAACAGCGACCUUUUUAGCGGCGGCUGGAGCUUUCUUCACGGUAGGCUUCUUCUCGACAGCUCCAAGCUUAAAUGAGCUCUUAACCUUGGUAAGCUUUCCAGAUGCAGCAAGUUUCUUCAACUGAACAGACAUAAGCUUUUUGAAAUUCGCCGGCAAAUCCUUGUUGUUGUCCUCGAUAUGUUUCGCGAUGGCG
rnacentral:lncRNA from 1 species